UGGGGGAUAACCUGGGGAAACCCAGGCUAAUACCGCAUACGUCCUACGGGAGAAAGGGGGCUCCGGCUCCCGCUAUGGGAUGAGCCUAUGUCGGAUUAGCUAGUUGGUGAGGUAACGGCUCACCAGGGCCACGAUCCGUAUCUGGUCUGAGAGGAUGAUCAGCCACAUCGGGACUGAGACACGGCCCGAACUCCUACGGGAGGCAGCAGUGGGGAAUAUUGGACAAUGGGGGCAACCCUGAUCCAGCCAUGCCGCGUGUGUGAAGAAGGCCCUCGGGUUGUAAAGCACUUUCAGCGAGGAAGAACGCCUAGCGGUUAAUACCCGCUAGGAAAGACAUCACUCGCAGAAGAAGCACCGGCUAACUCCGUGCCAGCAGCCGCGGUAAUACGGAGGGUGCAAGCGUUAAUCGGAAUUACUGGGCGUAAAGCGCGCGUAGGUGGCUUGAUAAGCCGGUUGUGAAAGCCCCGGGCUCAACCUGGGAACGGCAUCCGGAACUGUCAAGC
rnacentral:rRNA from 1 species